GCUGGAUGAGGUGGCGCACACCUGUGAUCCCAGUGGCUUGGGAGGCUGAGGCAGGAGGAUCACGAGUUCAAACUCAGCCUCAGCAACAGCAAGGCACUAAACAACUCAGUGAGACCCUGCCUCUA
rnacentral:sRNA from 1 species